ensembl:lncRNA
AUCAAAUUGAAUUUUGAAGGUAGUGUGAGAUAAGAGUUACUGUUCAUUCUCCCCGUGUGAUGAAUGAAAAGACUUUUCUUAACCUACUAAGUCACUUGGCAUCUCUGUUGAAAACGAGUGGAUGUCCCGGACGCUCCCUGCCCCAUUCAGACGACGUGUCCUCCUGUCACCAGCACCACGGCGCCUUCACUACUGCAGCCGUAUGAUCCAAGUCUUGAGAUUAGACACUCCGUGUCCUGAUGAGACGGGGAACCGAGCUCUGUUCACAGAGCGGAAGAAUGGACUCCGCAAACUCGCAAACAUUCAAGCAGGCAAAGUUUAUUUCAAAGGAUAGAGCUACAAAGCCCUCAGCAUAGACUCUGAGAGCGGGUGAACCCCCAGAGGCGGGAACAGCAGCAGCUUUUCUGUCCUCGUCAGACUCGACCUGUCCGUCCUUGGCUGGCCCGGGGCCCGACGCCUGUGAUUUCUGACCCGUGAGUGAACGGCCAGUGUCUGUCCCGUCCGUUGGCCGGUGGCUCUGUGGCAAGCAGCGUUGUGCUGACUGGAACGACCCCACAAGAAGCAAGCGUUAUUAUCUUUUAGAAGAUAAGAAAAUUAAGGGUGAGAGCACAGGAGUAGUUUUCUUAAGGGCACCAGAUGGAGCAGAGCCAGGCUUGACCCCUGGGCCACCUCAGCCAGCAGCCCCAGCCCGUGACCCCUGCUCUCUGCCACCCUGGGGCCUCCGUGUGGGAGGCUGGCGGCCUGUGCAGCUCGGUCGCCAUUUGCAGAGCGUUGAUUCCUCAGUAGGGGCCCUUAAAAACUUCCUCAGCUUUUUAUCUCGCAGCUUCCCAUGUGUCUGUGUCCACACCUACUUUUAUACACUGCCCUCCUGUCUUUGCAGGAGCACAUACAGGCACACAGGUUAACACCAUGAGUACAUACACACACACUCAGACACACACACUCGCGUACAUGCAGAUAUACAAAUACACACCAGUCACAGGUACUGCAGCAACCAGGAGACGUGGGGGCAUCCUGUGCUGGCAGCCAGGUGGGAUGCACAGGACCACCCACCCAAUUCCAGAGAGGGUUGGUAAAGCCUCAGCACACAGUGGCCGUGGAAAAACGAAGGAUGGCUUUUAUGUACAGUUUCUUAAAAAUAAC